rnacentral:rRNA from 1 species
GAUGAACGCUGGCGGCGUGCCUAAUACAUGCAAGUCGAGCGAACAGACGAGGAGCUUGCUCCUCCGACGUUAGCGGCGGACGGGUGAGUAACACGUGGAUAACCUACCUAUAAGACUGGGAUAAAUUCGGGAAACCGGAGCUAAUACCGGAUAAUAUAUUGAACCGCAUGGUUCAAUAGUGAAAGACGGUUUUGCUGUCACUUAUAGAUGGAUCCGCGCCGCAUUAGCUAGUUGGUAAGGUAACGGCUUACCAAGGCAACGAUGCGUAGCCGACCUGAGAGGGUGAUCGGCCACACUGGAACUGAGACACGGUCCAGACUCCUACGGGAGGCAGCAGUAGGGAAUCUUCCGCAAUGGGCGAAAGCUUGACGGAGCAACGCCGCGUGAGUGAUGAAGGUCUUCGGAUCGUAAAACUCUGUUAUUAGGGAAGAACAAAUGUGUAAGUAACUAUGCACGUCUUGACGGUACCUAAUCAGAAAGCCACGGCUAACUACGUG